UAAGUCACCAAGUUGGCCAGACCUAUGGCUGUGCUCAACCAUUGCUGAUUUGCAUGUGCCCAGAGAGUGCCUGUUCCCCUUCUUCAUAGUCAGGUCACUCCUGUGCUAGAGUCAGCCUCACAAAGUCACAACAGCACAGACAUGAGGUUCCCCACACAGCUCCUUGGGUUGCAGCUGCUCUGGCUUUUAGGUGCCAGAUGUGACAUCCAGAUGACACAGUCUCCAGCCUCCUUGUCUGCUUCUCUUGGAGAAAGUGUCACCAUGACAUGCCAGGCAAGUCAGAGCAUUAACAGUAAUUUAGCAUGGUAUCAGCAGAAACCAAGGGAACGUCCUCAGCUCCUGAUCUAUUAUGCAAGCAGCUUGGCAGAUGGGGUCCCUUCUAGAUUCAGUGGCAGUGGAUCUGGCACACAGUACUCUCUCAAGAUCAGCAGCCUGCAGUCUGAAGAUGUGGCAACUUAUUACUGUCAACAGUAUAGCAAUUACCUUCCCACAAUGAUACAAGUCAUAACAUAAACCCCCGAGGAAGCAGAAGUAUGUAGCCUGGU